rnacentral:rRNA from 1 species
CAGAGAUGAAUUUGUGCCCGAAAGGGAAUCUGAACACAGGUGCUGCAUGGCUGUCGUCAGCUCGUGUCGUGAGAUGUUGGGUUAAGUCCCGCAACGAGCGCAACCCUUGUCAUUAAUUGCCAUCAUUUAGUUGGGCACUUUAAUGAGACUGCCGGUGAUAAACCGGAGGAAGGUGGGGGAUGACGUCAAGUCCUCAUGGCCCUUAUGGGUAGGGCUUCACACGUAAUACAAUGGCGCGUACAGAGGGUUGCCAACCCGCGAGGGGGAGCUAAUCUCAGAAAGCGCGUCGUAGUCCGGAUCGGAGUCUGCAACUCGACUCCGUGAAGUUGGAAUCGCUAGUAAUCGCGGAUCAGCAUGUCGCGGUGAAUACGUUCCCCGGGUCUUGUACACACCGCCCGUCACACCAUGGGAGC